GGAAAGGACUGUAGCUCAGUGGUUAGAGAAUCAGCAUUGCAUGCAGAAGGAUGCAGGCUCAAUACCUGACAUCUCCA